rnacentral:rRNA from 1 species
CGUUGAGGCGGUCCCGUAAGUUGGACGUUAAAGCCCCCGGCCUAACUGGGGGAGGCCGUUCAAUACUGCGGGGCUUGAGGGCAGCAGAGGGAGGUGGAAUUCCCGGUGUAGCAGUGAAAUGCGUAGAUAUCGGGAGGAACACCAGUGGCGAAGGCGGCCUCCUGGGCUGCUCCUGACGCUGAAGGCGAAAGCUAGGGUAGCAAACG